GCGGACGUGGUGGAAUUGGUAGACACACUGGAUUUAGGUUCCAGCGCCGAAAGGUGUAAGAGUUCGAGUCUCUUCGUCCGCACCA
rnacentral:tRNA from 10 species